rnacentral:lncRNA from 1 species
CUACACUGGUUUAGGUAUAGAACUAGGUAAAUCUUUUAAUAGAGCAUGACUUUUUGCCAAAAUAAAUUGAAACAAGCCAAACUUUCAUAUUGUUUCAAAUCUGCCAUGCUGUAGACAUUUGCAGUCUUUUGAAAACCCUUUUAUGCGGCUUUAAAGCACUUCCCGUCUUGUAUUACCUAUGCCAGACACAUCUGAUCACUUGGAACCUGGGAUAUGCUCCCGAUGUCAUUAUUAAAAGUUCCAAUGGCUUCAUAAGCUGACAGGCCUCAGUAAGUCACACACAAACAAUCCACCCAUUUACUGCAUCCAUUUCUGCAGCCCCAGGACAAAACGCCUUUGGCUGUCAGCUCCUUCCAAAGCGUAAGGAGCCCGAGAGGACUGCGCAUCGUAUUUGUACUUUUAUGGAAGCAGCGGCGAGGUUACGGAACAUCGCUCGCAGUCGGGAGCUGGGCGCGCGGCUCGGGCUGGCGCUGGCAGGGCCCGAGCGGCCAAACGCCCGCGCCGCCCUCACAGGGCUCACGGCCGCCAGAGAGAAAGGGCGAGCUCGACAGGAACCGGCCACAGGCGGCCUUUCGGCAGGUGUUACUUGGGAAGAAAAGAAAAGUGUCUGCACCACUUUGAAGUUUAUUGGACAUGGAGGCCACGUCCUUUUCCAGUCUCAUCCUGUGAUGCAGGACUGUCUCCAUCUUCGCGAGCUCCUCUUGCCUGUGUUCUGCCAAGACACCCCCAUCUCCCAAGAGCCUGCACUCAGCACAGCUUUCUACCAUAGCCCUUUACUGGAAGAAGGGGUGACAGGGAUCCCUUAGCCACAGCUGGAACAAAGAAUCCGUGGAAAAGCAUUGACACAGCUUCUGGGAAGUGGAAGUAAAGGAAAGAAGGAAGUGGUGUUAAGCUACGAACGUAAUUCUGAUGGUUUUUGCUAUCACGUACUUAGCAUCACGAUGCUGUCGUGAUAAUAAGUCCAAAAGCACCAAAAGUGGAAAAAUAAAUCAGUGUGGGAGAAGAUAGAAGGAAUUUGG